rnacentral:miRNA from 2 species
GAGUUGUAGUCUUUCAAACAGA